rnacentral:rRNA from 1 species
GGGUAGUUUGACUGGGGCGGUCUCCUCCUAAAGAGUAACGGAGGAGCACGAAGGUUGGCUAAUCCUGGUCGGACAUCAGGAGGUUAGUGCAAUGGCAUAAGCCAGCUUGACUGCGAGCGUGACGGCGCGAGCAGGUGCGAAAGCAGGUCAUAGUGAUCCGGUGGUUCUGAAUGGAAGGGCCAUCGCUCAACGGAUAAAAGGUACUCCGGGGAUAACAGGCUGAUACCGCCCAAGAGUUCAUAUCGACGGCGGUGUUUGGCACCUCGAUGUCGGCUCAUCACAUCCUGGGGCUGAAGUAGGUCCCAAGGGUAUGGCUGUUCGCCAUUUAAAGUGGUACGCGAGCUGGGUUUAGAACGUCGUGAGACAGUUCGGUCCCUAUCUGCCGUGGGCGCUGGAAGAUUGAGGGGGGCUGCUCCUAGUACGAGAGGACCGGAGUGGACGCAUCACUGGUGUUCGGGUUGUCAUGCCAAU